rnacentral:lncRNA from 1 species
CCAGGCCUGGGCAUCUCCUCUCCUGCAGCGCCGCCUGCUGGCCACAGAGAACCCGCGUGCGCCGGCCGCCAGGCCUGGGCAUCUCCUCUCCUGCAGCGCCGCCUGCUGGCCACAGAGAACCCGCGUGCGCCGGCCGCCUGGCCUGGGCAUCUCCUCUCCUGCAGCGCCGCCUGCUGGCCACAGAGAACCCGCGUGCGCCGGCCGCCAGGCCUGGGCAUCUCCUCUCCUGCAGCGCCGCCUGCUGGCCACAGAGAACCCGCGUGUGCCGGCCGCCAGGCCUGGGCAUCUCCCCGGGCCCUAGUUCCCCCCCUCACCUAAGGGGAGGGACUCCCGUCUUUCCAUCCACCCCCUCCUUGCCUCUGCAGAGCUCCAGGGAAGGCUGGCACCCGCUCACUGCAUUUAGACUCCAUCAGCUCUGCUGCCCCCUGCCCCAUACACGUGAUGGAGCAGAAAACGUGCUGUGUGAACCUGUGACUUCAGGGCCUGUUGACGUGGUCGUGCUUGCAUACUCUCUGGACUGGACCUCACUGUGGGAACAACAAGAUCAACAAGAGGAGCAAGAACAACAUCAAGAGUCAGGGCCCGGGGGUCCUGACGGGUACAGGAUGGGUACAGACCCACACAGGAAUCCCAGAGUGUGUUCCACAGCAGGACACGCCUGCGCUGAAAGAGUGGGCAGAAAGGAGCUGACCUGGACCAAACCAAUGCACAACUCCUACGUACUGAUGGUGGUCUUACGUUUCCCUAAGUUUCUGCCGACUAAACUGUGCACACGUUCUCAGGACCUCCUGAAGCUGCGUCACAGGCGCUGAUCAAAGAACACAACCAAGAGUUUGGCCUUUUCUUCAGCACUGGGAAUUGUGAUCCAAAGCUUUUCCUGAUGAGGCACAAAGUUGGAGAAACAAAACGCAAACUAAGCAACAAUGAAACAGAACAGAGUGAAUCUGCUGUAGCUCAAGAGAGGACGUAGCUGCCCCCACCCCGCAUCCCCGGGCUCGGGUUUGCCUUGCUGACCUCUGCUGCCACCUGGUGCCGCACAGAGAAACUGAGGAGAAACCACAUCAGUCUCCUUCAGCCUCAGCUUCACAUCUGUGGGUCAAGCAACCCUUUCAGAAGCUGAAUAAUGUGGGAAAGCUUUCCUCUCAGGAAAAUGCACACAUCCAACUUUGAGAAGAUGCCCUUGGGGGCGCUUCAAGGAUC